AGCGUCUGUGUUCCUCGUGCCUUUGCUUCCUGCCUUCCCUGUGUGCAGGCUCCAGCCCUGCCGUCCUAAGACGGAGCGAAAGAGUAAAUUUUAACGAGGCCCCUAAUGAAAUCCCGGCGCUCAGCGGAGCCUCCGCAUUUACAAGUUGCCAGGCCUGGGGCGGAAGAAGGGAACCUGGGGUCCUGGCGCGAAGCUGAGUCCUGCCGCCCUGGCUGAGGUGAGCCAGGCUUGGCACAGUGAGCACUGUGCUCGGAGCAGGACACGCCUGCCCGGAUUCAGGGGCCAGAGUCCUGACACCAACGCCGGCUUGGUCCUGUCUCCCUGGAGGUGGCGUCCUGCCGAGGACAUGCCUGAAGUCAUGGCUGCCAGUCACUGAGAUGCCCAGGCACAGGUCUGCAGGGUCCCCACAGCUCCGGGCCACUUGGCCUCAGAGUCAUUGUAAAAUGAAGCCCUCUCGACAAUCGUCGAAAUCCUUGUCUCAUUCCACGAUCUAGAAGAGAUGGCUUUCAGCAACAAUGACGAGUUAUUGUUUGUAUCCACUAUUUAGUAGAAAGUAAUAUGUAUAGCAUAUCAAGAUAUAAAGCAUAAAAAAAAGUAAUAAAACUGGCUCCCUAUUUUCCAACACUUAGUUAAAACAAAAAUAAGAACAUUACCCUGUUUUUGAAGUCCCCUAUGUAGAAUGAAAAAAAUGAGACUUUUAUCAAAGUGAGCAAUGGUAUACACGGGGCUUCCCUGAAAUUAUAUUCUUUAUUUCCUACAAGAUAUUUACUAUUAAUAAAUUU